GUGUUGUAUGAAAGGAGAGAAGGUUAGCACUCCCCUUGACAAGGAUGGAAGAGGUCCUAGUGACCCACAACACAUACAAUUAAGGCACUGCCACCUACUUCAUGACCUUUCUAACCAUGUCUUA